GUAUAACCAGAUGAUUAAAAUUUUAUAAACAUAUAUAUCUUGUGGAGUAGAGCUAGAAUACUUGUAAAAGUAUCAGCCAAGUGAUACUUGUGUGUUUUUAGCCCUUGGAUGGAGAGAUGUGAGGUUGAGAUGAUGGUGGUAGGUGGUGGUAGGUGGUGGUAGGUGGAAUAAUAUUUGAUCCAAGGACUAUUAGUAAUCAAAAAGUAGAUCCAAUGGCUAAAAUUAAACACACAAGUAUCACUUGGGUGAUACUUGUAAAAGUAUUCUAGCCCUACUCAUAUAUUGUGUAUCCUUCUUUUUGAGAGAAAGAUAAUAUACUAUUCACUUCGUUUAUUUUUUUUAAAAAAUAAACUUAACUGAAAAUAUGAAGCAACUAAUUAAGUUUCGAACUUA
rnacentral:lncRNA from 1 species